ensembl:lncRNA
CUCUCACCAGCCACGGGCUCUCCUCGUCCAUUUAACAACAAAACACAGCAACACUCGCUGUAUUUGAGGAAAGUGAAGCUUCUGUAGGCCACAACCCGUUCUCCUCAACUCAGAAAGAUGGUCCUCGUGUUGUAGUGGUCAAAGUCCGCCAGCGCCAAUACAAAGCAUCUUUCAGUUUUGCUUUUCCAGCUGGCUGCUGAUUAAACCAAAAUACCACCAGUUCUUGAUGUCCACUGGGAUUUUCCAGCUGUAUGAAGUAUUCCCAUUGGUGAUCCAACAGAAAAUUAUUUUAUCAACCAGAAAACUUUGAACAGGCAGUGUGAGAAAAAAGUAGAAGAUGGGGCCAACCCCUGAGGCCUUCAGGCUGGGAGGACUGAACGGCCUCGUAGCCA